AAAAUCCCAGCUGUAAACUCAAUGUGGGCAAGGCUUCUCUUCAUCCUUCCACAGUCAUCUGAUACCUGCUCUAUGCUCUCUGUUGCACCUAAUCCUUCUCUUUGUCUACUUGGUCUGGUGGUGCCCAAAGAGACAAACUCUGAAUGGGUGUGAUGUUACCGCAUUGGGAGAAAGAGUGGAAUACGCUGCUAAAUGCCUAAUGCUCUGCUGCUCGCCAGGUUUUGUUCAGUUUUUGACUAUGAUGUAUCAUAAAGGCAUUUGCCAAGAGCUUCGGUGAAUGUGCAUGGAUCAUAAAGAAAUUCAUGACGCACAGCCAGUGCUGAUUGGCAGUUGCAGCAAGAUAUGAUGAACCACAGUAAUUUGCUCACCAAGCUUUAAAUCUGAUGUUGUAUAUUAUUGGGCAAUAGAUCAAACUCCUCAUUCUACUGCAUCAACUGUCAUCUAGUGUGAGAUGGUUACUGGGAAGUCAAUGUUACUUUAUUUAACUUUGUAGGUACUCAGAAGAUCAUAUGAUCGAUAUUACAACAAGAUGGUGUUGUCAACUCAAUGCA
rnacentral:misc_RNA from 1 species